GCGGAUCUAGCUCAGGGGUAGAGCGCCGGAUUUGGAUCCGGAGGUCGCAGGUUCGAGUCCUGCCUUCUGCACCA
rnacentral:tRNA from 1 species